rnacentral:tRNA from 1 species
GGGAAAAAAGCAUAAAAUGCGGUUAACUUGAAAUUAACAGGUGGCAGAGUAUCUGUCUUUUCUCG